rnacentral:lncRNA from 1 species
GACUGAAAACAUGUUUUAUUCUGUAAAGGAAAAAUUCAAACCUAAAGCCAUACACCAGAAUGGUGCUGGUUUUGUUGGCCAUUCAUGGCAACAAAACGCCGAGUCACUCUGACUCAUUGACUGAAGUAAAAUGUGGGGUGGCAAUUAGGUACAACGCAUUCUUUCUCUUACAGGUCACUCCAAAGGUCUCCGUCAUGUCAAGUUCGUCUGGAUUCAUCUCAUUCGCCAGUUUCCAAUCGAAGCGGUAGAGCAAUUCAGCAAGAGCAAGUUCAACCAUGGUAACACCAAAUAACAUGCCUGGACACAUUCUUCUGCCGGCCCCAAACGGGGUGAACUCAAAGUCAAAACCCUUAAAGUCAACAGAAGAACAUUGAAACCUCUCCGGCUUAAAACACUCAGCAUCUGCCCCCCAUAUCUCUGGGUCUCUUCCCAUUGCCCAUAGAUUAAUAAUUACUUUUGAUUUAACUGGUAAUUCGAACCCGCCAAUUUGAACCGUGUCCCUUGCUUCUCUUGGGAGCAAAGGGGCUGGAGAGUGUAACCUCAGAGUUUCUUUCACCACCGAUUUCAAGUAGUCCAUUUUUUGAACAUCUCUUUCUUCAAUAACUUUUCUUUUUUUCCCUUCAAAUUGGAGGACUGACCGUCUCACUUCAGCUUGAGCCCUCUUCAUGAUUCUUGGGUUUCUCAUCAACUCUGACAUUGCCCAUUCUAAGGUAGUAGCUGAAGUCUCGCUUCCUGCAGAGAACAUGUCUUGCACAUAAAAAAAAAAAAAUUCACUUAGUUAGACAGUAAGAACGACAUUGAUGUGUGGGACAAAAUGUGCAGCAUGAUAAUAAUUGAUUUUCAAUUUGCGGAACCAAAAUCAUGAGUUUUGAAAACAUGAGCAACCAUUUGUGACAGAACCCCUUCAUAUAAUUUUAUAAAAUGAUGAGUGACGACGAAGAAAAAAAUGUCUGCAGUACAAGGCAAGCCUACAUUACUCACCAUAAUCAUAUCUUUGAUAUGAUUGGUUGUGAAAUUGAACUCCACCUUGUUGGACUCUUUAAGUUUUAGAAGUACGUCAACAAAAUUUUCCUCCUCCUCCACUGCUUUGUCAUUGCUUUUGAUUUUAUGAUCGUUGAUGAUACGUUCGAGAAUCGUAUUGAGCUUGCUUUUUAUGUCUUUGAGAGCAGGGAUCGACCCAGUAAUGAAAACAAGAAAACUGAGUGAAGGAAACAAAUCAGGAAUAUCAAAUCCACUACCAAGUUUGAGUAUUUCGUCUAGUAGCGAAAGGAACUCCUUUUGGUCUUUGCAUUUUUUCCCAAAUGCUGCCUUCGACACUACGCCACUUGUGAAGCUGCAGCACCUGUCCCUAAAAUUGAUGGCAAGCCCCUCGUGAGACAUUGAGCCAGUGGACUCAAUAAGAUUCCGUACCUCUUCUUCUCUUACGGAUCUGAAAGACUGCACACGUGUCGCGCUCAGUAGCUCGAAAACACAAAUCUUUCUCAGCGAUCUCCAUCAAUAUUUUACCUAAUGGUAUAAGUAUAAAGUCGUUGUCCACUUAUGUUAUAACACACAAAUUAAUAUAUAGCUUGCAUAUAUUCAAGUGUCAAUCAAUAAUUGAUCAAUUUUAAUGUGAUCAAAUUGAUUGGUAUUAAAAUUAGGCCUUUGGUUAAUAUAUUUGUGAAUAUGUUCAAAAAAAAAAUUGUGAAUAAUAAUGUAUAAAAUGAGCUUAUCUAAUAUAAUUUUUCCCUAAAAAAUUGUCAGCAUAUUUAUAGAUUAUUUGCCCCUUCCACUAACAGUAACACUCUAAACUUAUUUUCAAGAACCUCUUUUCACACUAAUACAGUAUGGUGCAUGGCAUCUUUCAUGUUAAUAAAAUCAAGCGUAGUAGCGUUCUACGAUUCAAAUAGUCAACCUUACUUAGUGAGAUAAGGCUUUGUUAUUGUUAUUUCAUGUUGAUUAAGUAGUGGUCUAAAUUUUGAACUAAUUGUCACAUGUCGUCUUUGUUGAGCAAAAAAAAUUGUACAUAAUAUGUAAACAAAUAAUUCACUCGACACAAUUUCACCCUCGUUCAUUUCUUGAAGAGGGUUUUAUUAAUUCAAGUUCAACCCAUUCUAGGCUACACGCCUAUUAAUUACAACCCUUCCUUUGGGAAAGGAACACCCUUUGAUUCUAAUAUGAAUAAAUCGUAUCUUGGGGAUUUGGAGUGUUUAUUUGAUUUUGUGACUGUAUCUAGGUAGAACCCUAGAUUGCCUACGUACCCUCGUUGAGGGAUCAAGUCACUCGUAGUUCCUUGUAUGCUUGAUACUUGUUUGGAUUUGAUGCCUUAUGCAGUUUUAGCUCAUGCAGGCGAGGACUUUAAGCCAUUGGAGCAUUAAUGCCUUGUGCAGUUUUAGCUCAUGCGGGCGAGGAGCAUUAAUGCCUUGUGCAGUUUUAGCUUAUGCGGGCGAGGAGCAUAUGUGGCUUCGUGCCAUUUAAGUCUUGUCACGGCUUCGUGCCCUUUUGAUACGGCUUCAUGCCAUUGAGAUUUGUUGCGGCUUCAUGCCCUUUGAUACUUGAUACGGCUUCGUGCCUUUUGAUACUUGAUACGGCUUCGUGCCUUUGAGAUUUGUUGAGGCUUUGUGCCCUUUGAAAAUUUUUCUUCGACUUCGUGCCAUUUUGGUAUUUGAUAGCAGGAGUGAAUUUAGUUUAUAUAAACCAGGGAUUCGUUUCAGCUUCACGGUUGCGUCUAAAAUUUUGAUAUCAGACUGCCUACGUAUCCUUAACGGAAUCAAACCGGCGUAGUUCAUUAAUGCUUGAUUUGGAUUUGCAUUCUUUUGUUUAGACUUGGCAAAAUGAGAAGUUGAUUGGGUAUUGAGACUUGGCAAAAUGAGAAGUCAAUUGGACUUGUUUGAAACCCAUACAUGACCUUUGGUAAUAUCCAAUAGAUCUUUGUGAAAUGGGACUUCACUUUUUUCUUCAAGUAGCAACCCACAUGGGAUGCGCAGUACAAAGUAAAUAGGACUUUGUCCUUUCCUUGAGUAGAAGGUAGGAUUCACGCCAUAUGGACUGAAAAGGCAUUUAAACAGCCUUUUAUUUUUGGUUGGUUGAAGGGCUUCCCUCGUGUUAUAAAUCCUUAGUGAAUUAGGAUUCAUCUUUGCAUGGCUUUUCCACACGGUUCGGAAAAGGUUUGAUCCAUAUAACUUCUUGUGAUGCAUGUUCUUUGAGGGUUCCACGUAAGUACCGUCCCUAAUUAAUUUGUGAAGUUUGUUUACAGCAAACUUCUUGUUUCUUCUUUUUUUUUUUUUUUUGGCUUUUCCACCCCAUUUAAAUAUGGGACUUUGAACCCAUUUGAUUCAAAACCUUCUGACAGCAAGCUUUUCUCUUCAUUGUUUUUUUUUUAUAUGAUUUUAAAGCUUCCAAGUUCCAAUAAGACUUGAAAGUUCGAAAUCCUCUCUCCCUCUUCAUGUGAGGUGCAGCCUUUAUUCACCCCUUCUUUUUUUGUUUGGUGUUGCUUUCAUCCAAGUGAUGCUUCCUUCCAUCCUUUUUUUAUUUCUCGGACAAAAGACAUAAAGACAACAACUGACAACUUUCAGAGGUCUUUGUCCUAUUUUUUUUUUUUUGCAGAGCCAAUGGUUAUUUGAAGUAUGCUAUUGUUGGGGCUUUUGUAAUUGUAAGAAGACACCUUUUUCUUUUUGACUUAGUAAUCUCUCCUUCUUGUGACUAACGAUGAUGGGUAGUACGGAGAUGCAAUUUUGGGCCAACAUCGACGGAGCCUUUGAGGAGUGUAGAUUUGUUAGUGUUUUGGAAGGUUUAUAUUUUGUAGAAAUGUUCUUGACAGGGUUUUUGGUUAUGGAAAAACACAGAAAUGUAAGGAGGGAUUUCGGCUAUUGCAGUCUGCUCUCUUAGCAACUCAUAGCAAACAUAUAUAUAUGCUAUCAGUAGGGUUUUGGUAUACAAGGUCAGAUCUUAUCUCCAUUGGAGCUAGUUGACAAAAACCACAACUACCAUAUAGUACUAAGCUAAUCUAAGCCCUUCACUGGAGCUUUUAAUCUAAGCCCUACACUUGUAAAAAAGCAUUACUUAAAAACAACUAGCCGUUACAAAACUAGCCGUUAGCAUGUUGCUGCUUCAUUUCUUCGAUCAAACUGGAAGUGUUUAGCAUCCAACACUCCCCUCUAAACUCUUCCUGGUGUUGACUCCAAGCAGGCUUCGAAGGUAUGUGAACCUCUCUUUUGGUAAUGCCUUUGUAAAAAUGUCUGCCAUCUAAUCUUCAGUUCUGCAAUACAUUAAUUCAAUGACAUUUUCUUGUAGUGCAUCUCUGAUAAAGUGAUACUUCCUCUUUAUGUGCCUUGUUUUCUGAUGAAAAACUGGAUUUCUUGUCAUUGCUAUAGCUGAGGUAUUAUCACACAUUAGCUUAGUUGGUUCAACUUGCAUUUCUCCAAAAUCUUUUAGAACAAAUCUCAGCCAGAUUGCUUGAGAUGUUGCUUCUGCAGCACUCACAUACUCAGCUUCGGCGGUUGAUAGUGCAACACUUUGUUGCUUGACCGAGGCCCACGAGAACACACCAGAGCCAAAUGUAAAAGCAUAUCCCGAUGUGCUUUUCAUAUCAUCUUCACUACCUCCCCAGUCACUAUCACAGAAACCAACCAGAAUAGCUGAUUGUCCUUUUUCAUAUUUGAUUCCAAAAUCAAUUGUUCCUUGCACAUACCUGAGUACUCUUUUUGCAGUUCCCAAGUGUAUUUUGGUAGGACUAUGCAUGAAUCUUGAGAGCAGGCUUGCAGCAUACAUAAUGUCUGGCCUUGUUGCUGUGAGGUAUAACAGGCUGCCAACAAUUUUCCUGUAGAGAUUUGCAUCCACUAACUCACUUCCAUCCUCACUCUUGAGCUUCUCAUUUGCAAUUAAGGGAGUGCUUACUGGUUUGCAUCCCUUGAGUCCAAAUUUGUUCAACAAUGUAUGUGCAUAUUUCAUUUGAUGAAUGAAAAUGCAAUCUGAUUUUUGAAUCACCCCCAUUCCAAGAAAGUGGUGAAGUAACCCCAAAUCUGUCAUCUCAUAUCUUCUCAUCAUUUCAUUUCUAAAUUCAUCCACCAUUUUCUUACUGUUUCCAGUAAAAAACACAUCAUCCACAUAGAUGGACACAAUGAGAGUUUCUGACUUGUUCUCAACCUUGGUAUAGAGUGUUGCUUCAUUGAGGCUUUUCUUGAAUCCACACUUAGUGAAAUGUGCAUCAAUCUCACUGUACCAGGCUCUUGGUGCUUGCUUCAGGCCAUAGAGUGCCUUCUUUAAUCUAUACACUUUGCUUUCGGACCCUUUGACUUCAAAACCUUGUGGCUAGUCCACAUAGACCUCUUCCUCUAGUACACCAUUCAAGAAAGCAGACUUGACAUCUAACUGAUAUAGUUGCCAACCCUUCUGUGCAGCUAAUGCAAUUAGUGUCCUGAUUGUAUCUAGUCUAGCCACAGGUGCAAAUGUUUCAUUAAAGUCAAUUCCAGGCUUUUGAGAGUAGCCUUUAGCCACUAAUCUAGCCUUGUUCCUCUGUACUGAUCCAUCCAAGUUCAACUUGGUUUUUAUAGACCCACUUCACACCUAUCACAGGUUUAUCACUUGGUCUGUCCACCAGAGUCCAAGUUUCAUUUUUCUCUAUCAUUGAGAUUUCAUCUCUCAUUGCUAUCUGCCAUGACUUGUCAUUUUCAGCCUCUUCCAAAGGUCUCUGGUUCAAUAACACAGAAAUUGCAUGCUGCAUAGAUUUCUUCUAGGCUUCUCAUUUUAAUUGGUGUUGAUCCUGAGCUUGAGUUUGAACUCGAGCUUUGUUGCCCUCUCUGUUGAGAUGUUGAACUUGCACUUGAGUUUUGUGUACUCUGAGGGGUUUGAACUGGUGAGGUAUAAGGUAUCUGCAAGCUUUCUUCUUCAGGUUCAUACAUCUCACCAAUUUCAGUUUGUGCAGUUCUUUGCUCAGGAACAUCAACUUGCAGUGAUACUUUGUCUUGUUCUACUGCAUUUGUCUCCUAAUUCCACAAUGAUUCUUCAUCAAAAAUUACAUCUCUUGAGAGAUUGAUCUUCUUGGUUCUUAGAUUAUACAAUCUAUAACCUUUUUCAUUUGUGCCAUACCCAACAAAAAUGCACUUAUUGCUUGGUUCUUGUAACUUGUGUCUGAGUUGUGAUGGCACCAGUGCAUAACACACAGAGCCAAAAACCUUUAAGUGCUUGACUCCAGGCUUUCUUCCACUGAACACUUCGAAUGGAGUUUGCUUCUCCAAAGCUUUGGUAGGACAUCUGUUCAAGAGAUACACAGCAGUAUUCACAGCUUCUCCCCAAAAUGAAUAGGGUAUUUUCUUCUCAUGUAGCAUGGAUUUUGCCAUCUCCACUAUAGUCCUGUUCUUUCUCUCUGCAGUUCCAUUUUGUUGAGGAGUGUAAGCUACUGUGAGUUGCCUUUCUAGACCCAAAUCUUCACAGAAAGCUUUGAAUUCCAGUGAGGUAUACUCACCUCCCCUAUCACUCCUUAUCUUCUUGAUUUGAUGCCCACUUUGUAACUCCACCAUUGCUUUAAACUUCCUGAAUAUAUUGAAGACUUCUGAUUUGAACCUCAUAAAAUAUACCCAACACAUUCUUGAGUAGUCAUCUAUGAAAGUCAAGAAGUACUUGUUCCCACUGAUGGAUGCAUUUUUUCAUUGGACCACACACAUCAGUGUGAAUUAAUUCUAGAGGUUUCUCAGCCCUCCAAGCCUUUCCAGUUUCAAACUUGUCCCUGUGUUGUUUCCCAAAUGCAACAGCCUUCACAAACCUCCUUCAUUUCAUCCAUUUGAGGCAAACCUUGCACCAUUUCAUGUUUUUGCAGAUUUUUUAGACUUUGCACAUUCAAGUGCCCAAACCUUUUGUGCCAUAGUCUCUCUGACUCAAUUUUGCCUGCCUUCCUUGCCACUUCUUCCAAGCAUUUCAGCAACAAUGGAAAGCUUAUGUUUUUUCAUUUGAACUUUCACAACCAGAUUCAAUAGAGUUCUAUCAUCAUAUACUUCAGCAAUGGUAUCUCCAAACAACAAGAAAUAGCCAUGUUCCAUCAUCUGUGUCUAACACUUAAAAGGUUUUCCUCCAGACCAGGUACCAACAUGACUUCUUCAAUGUGUCUUCUUCCCUUCUUGGUUUCUAUGAUAAGAGUACCUCUGCCAGUUACUUUCACAAUAUCACCAUUUCCCAUCUUAACAUUUCCAGUGAAUGUAGUAUCAAUAUUAGUUAAUAGAGACUCAUGAGCAGUCAUAUGAUUACUGCACCCACUGUCUAUAUACCACACUUCACUGUCUUUUUACAACAUUGGCACUAAAAGCACAAAAGACAUUGUUUCCUUCUUGUUCUUGUUUUGCAAUGUUCACUUGCUGAAGUGGUGUUUAAUCUGCAAUCCUUCUGCAAAUGGCCAAAUCUAUUGCAUUUGUGACAUUUUGGCUUUCUUUUAAACCAACAUUCACCAAAAUGGGCUUUAUCACAGUAUCUGCACAAUGGUUUGGUUUUUCCACCCCCAUUGUUGCUUCCACUGUUGUAUUUGUUCUCUCCACUUGGUCUUCCUUCCCACUUCUUAUUUUUCCCUUUCCAAUCUCUCCUUGGUCUGUUUUGAUGCUGAUUAGAGUGAUUUGAUGACCCUAUGUUUAGUGACUGGAAGGCUUUCUCAGUUGCACCAUCAGAAUGCCUUUCGAGCCUUUGAUCAAAAGCUCUCAAGGAAGCCAUUACAUCUUGAACACUGAGUGUAUCAGUAUCCUUAGUUUCUUCUAUCACACUCACAAUAGAAUCAUAAGGCUUAGUCAAACUAAUUAGAAGUUUUUGCACUAUUCUUUCAUUAGGCAGUUCUUCUCCGUAAGUUUUCAUUUGAGUCACAACAUCAAACAGCCUAGAAACAUAGUCUUUAAAUGGCUCAUCUUCUCUCAUGCGUGUAUACUCAAAAUCACGUCUAAGAGACUGGAGUUUUACCUUCCGUACCUUCACAUCUCCUCUGUAUUCUUGUUGCAGGGUAUCCCAGGCAGCUUUGGCAGUUUCUUCAUUUGCUAUCCUUGGGAAUAUGACAUCGCAGAUAGCACCUUGAAUGAUUCCCAACGCUUUAGCAUCAUUCAUCCUGUUCUCCUUCAAUGUAGCUUAUCUGCUUCUCUGCGAGAUCCUCUUCUAGAGAAUCUACCUCCAAUUUCUGGUAACUCAUAUCCAUCUUGAACCAUUUCCCAGAGAUCAUACGACUUGAAGAUAGUUGUCAUCCGGAUCCUCCAAUAGUCGUAGUUUUCUCCAUCAAAGACUGGAGCUUUAAGUUCUCCUCCACCAGCUCCUUUCAUUUUUAACUUAUAUUGACAGUUAGGGUUUCAGCUUUUACCUGAACAACCCUCGAAAUAGGUUCCACAAUGACCAGAUUUCAGUGAUCAAGAACAAAGCUCUGAGGCCAUGUUAGUGUUUUGGAAGGUUUAUAUUUUGUAGAAAUGUUCUUGACAGGGUUUUUUGGUUAUGGAAAAACACAGAAAUGUAAGGAGGGAUUUUCGGCUAUUGCAGUCUGCUCUCUUUAGCAGCUCAUAGCAAACAUAUAUAUAUGCUGUCAGUAGGGUUUUGGUAUACAAGGUCAGAUCUUAUCUCCAUUGGAAGCUAGUUGACAAAAACCACAACUACCAUAUAGUACUAAGCUAAUCUAAGCCCUUCACUUGGAGCUUUUAAUCUAAGCCCUACACUUGUAAAAAAACAUUACUUAAAAACAACUAGCCGUUACAAAACUAGCCGUUAGCAUGUUGCUGCUUCAUUUCUUCGAUCAAACUGGAAGUGUUUAGCAUCCAACAAGAUUGAUCUUCGAAGUUGUGGUGAACGGAGAGGUUAUUGGAGACAAAUAUCAACUGCGGCGGAAAGAGUUUGCCCUUGUGGUUGUUGUUGAAGGAAAGCUUCAGCUUGGCGAGGCUGUCGAGCAGCUUGCAAGAGACCUUGUGGAAGAAGAUGGAGGAGUCGCUGUCGAACUCGGAAGUGGGUUGAACCGAAGGCCUCUUUGGGGAAGCUGAAUACGAGGGGAGUCCUCAAAGAUGUAGUUGGCAGAGACGGCGGCGGUGUUCGCAAAUGUCUUCAUUGGUGUUGUUGAAGUGUUUAGUGAUCGACGACGUCGCAGCGGGCUAUUGUCAAAGUCCAGGUGAGAAGGCAGUCCUCCGGUUCCAGUUUGUCGUGAAAAGUGAGAGAGCAUUCGGAGCCAUCACUAGGCACAGUGGUUUGGCACUGUUCCUUUAUGCAAGUCGUACUUCCAAAACUUCUUUAGGCACUCAUUCCUUCAUUGACGCGACUUCCUUGGGUUUAUUCUGGUUUUAUGCAACACGGCACAUCACCAAAACCCCAUCUCCUUCAAGCCAUAUACUCCAUUGACCUUCGGGUUCUUCUUGGUUUUAUGCAACACGGCAUUACCAAACCCAUCUCCUUCAAGCCGUAUCCUCCAUUGACGUGACUUCCUUCGGGUUCUUCUGGUUUAUGCAACACGGCAUUACCAAACCCAUCUCCUUCAAGCCACGUCCUGCGACUUCCUUCGGGUUCUUCUGGUUUUAUGCAACAUGGCAUCACCAAACCCAUCUCCUUCAAGCCACGUCCUGCGACUUCCUUCUAGGUUUUUCUGGUUUUAUGCAACACGGCAUCACCAAACCCAUCUCUUUCAAGCCGCAUAAUGUACGGACUUCAUCUGGAAAAUUACCAGAGACGAUGGUUGGAGAAAUGGCGCGACUGCUACUUCUGUUUGGGCUUCCGUCUGACGUCGGCAGUUGAUACAGCGUUAUGCAAAGAAGGAAAGGCUGCUGCUUGUUCGUCGUCACUACUGUUGCCUUGUUCGAAACCGUCCUUUGCAUUAUCGACGGGUUUCGGGACCAUCGCUGGGCACAAUGGGUUCUUCUUCUAAACUUGUUGAAACGUGGAAGAUGAUGGUUUCUUCUCUGUUGCAUUUCUGAAGAAACAAAGAAAAAUGUCGAAACUUCUUUAGACACCCAAGAGGCUUAUGGCAAACCGAUUUGCUACUGCAUUUUGGUGAGAUCUCCGUUGUUUUUUGUUUUUGUGGAGCUGCAAAUGUCUCCAUCGGUGGAGACAAAGAAAGAACACUCCGUGGGUGGAUGAGUUGACAGCGGCAAGGACGAAGAAGACGACAAACAUCUCCAAUGGUGGAGAAGAGGAAGGAAUAAGCCCAAGGACAUGUUUGGGGGGUCAGUGUGAAUUGAUGGUGCAUGUUUCCACCACCAUCUUCCUUUGCUUCGGUUAAACAAGAAGAAAAGAAACCCCCCCCAUUUUUCUGCAAAAGACGACAAGAACCUCCUAAUAAAAAUCAGGAAUCCAUUAUGAGAACGUAAAUACCUUUUUAAGCUUUCUCCUCUCUUUUGGCUUCUUGUUGCUGUUCCUUUUCGCUUUCUUUUGCUGCUUGUCUUUUUUCUUUUUUUUUUCCGUCAAUUUCCUUCCUCGUGUGCUUCUCAAUUUCUGCAGCGUUUUCUUAUCACCCCAUUCGUUGCAAUCUUUUCUCUCAAUUUCUGCAAAGUCUCUCUUCUUCUUUCUGUGUCUUCUGUCCUCUUUGCUUUGGUUCGAUGCUUUUUUAUAGGCGAACAGUGGACAUGGCAGUUGAAGUUAGUGGGAUGCAACUUUCCUGGGGUGUGGAGAUGUUGAGAGAAAACCAUCUCUUGAGUGGAGAACGUGGGAGUUUUAGAGGGUUAUAGAUACACACGUUCUCUAUACCCGGUUGCCAUGUAGAUGACAAACGCCUUCAGACUUGGUGUACGCUGAGGUCCACCUGUGCGGGUGUAGAGUUGUUUUUCCCUCUCUUUAUUUCUUAUAUAUAAAAUAUAGUAUAUAUAAGAAUAUAUGCACAUACACACAUAAAGUGAGCCUUAUUUAUAGUCAGUCCAUAUUUUGGACUCUAUUAUUAUUACUAUUAUUAUUUUGAAGUCUCCCCAUUUUUAUUAAGACUUGCUAAUAUAUUUUGUUUGUGAAAAUAUAUAGCUCAACAGUUGCCCCCUCAAGCAUCGUGCGUGGAAAUGGCUUUGACAUGUACGAGGCUUGAAAAUUUUUCUUUUCUCUAGCUCCAUUUAUGUUUUGAUUUGAUAAAAGCGUCCUUUUGUAUCUUUUAGCUUGAGCUUUCUUUUUGAGUUUUAGACUCAGUUUUCUCCUCUCUUAUUAACAGAGAAACAAUCUUGAAAGUUUGGAACAAAGGAUAGUUGAUGCUUUUUGCUGGGCUAGAGGUGGUGCUUGGUACUUCGUUUUGUUGACGGCAUUCCAGGAAAUGACAAGGUUGCCGCUGUUGCUGCUUGUGACCGAUGACGCAGCGACCGGGGACGUGCGAAGGUUGUUGCCUCUCUUGUUGAGAGGCUUGGUUUCAACCUUUCUUUAGUUGCAGGUUUCUAGAGGUUUUGCUCUAUUUUUGCCGAGAAAAGAGAGGGAGAGACUCUCUGAAAUUUUGAUUGAUGAAGAAGAAGGUUGAUCCUCCUAACCUUGCUGGGAAUCAGUGCAAGUCCCACCAUUUGCUUUGCUUUGGGGAGUGGGAAAGCAAAGCUUCUCCAUUUUUUUUCAAAAGCUGAAACAUAAUGACAAAGGAUCCAUAAACCUCUUUUUUUUUUUUUUUUUUUUUUUUUUUUUUUUUAUGCCCUUGCCAUGUACUCUUUCUGCUUGUUUUCCUCUUCUAUUUUUCUUGUCUUAUCUCCCCUGUUGUGUGCUUUCCUCUCUCGUCCUCUUUCCGUCGAUCUCUUCGUAACCAAGGAUGCAUGAUAAUUAUUUUGAUGACUUUGACAGUCUCAUUCUAUUACCUACAUGAAUUGACUAUGCAUAUGCAUAAUAUAUUUUGUUUGUGAAAAUAUAUAGCUCAACAGUCUCAUUCUAUUACCUACAUGAAUUGACUAUGCAUAUGCAACAACUAUAAAAAACAUCGGUUGGAAUCAUGAUCGAUGAAUAUGUUAUCAUGAUCAUUUUUGUAUUUGUUUGCCUAACAAACCAAAUAAUUAUCAGAUUCAGUGCAGAUUGAGUAUGAUCGUUAUCGCAUCAUUAAUUGUUAACGUGUGAAAUCUUGAGGCCGAGCCGCCCCUGGCCUCUGGUUCCCGAUGCCGGUCGUACUCUAAGCAAGUUCAUUUCUUAUUCGUUGUCUUAGGCAAUCAUUAUGGACAACAAUUUUUGGAAGAAGAAGAGCAAGAAGAGUAGCAGUAGAACACUCACGAGUACAUGUAUUAUUGAUCAUAUAUACAUAUCUGAAUAACAAGCUUACAUCUUAGGGAUGACAUAUUGAAUUAACAUUGCAUUAAUCAUGCCUUAUAUUACGCAAGUACUAAAUGAAAAGAAGCCUGGAUUUAAACAAUCUACAAACUGCAAACUGCAAGGAUGAACUGAUGUACUGAAAACAUGUUUUAUUCUGUAAAGGAAAAAUUCAAACCUAAAGCCAUACACCAGAAUGGUGCUGGUUUUGUUGGUCAUUCAUGGCAACAAAACGCCGAGUCACUCUGACUCAUUGACUGAAGUAAAAUGUGGGGUGGCAAUUAGGUACAACGCAUUCUUUCUCUUACAGGUCACUCCAAAGGUCUCCGUCAUGUCAAGUUCGUCUGGAUUCAUCCCAUUCGCCAGUUUCCAAUCGAAGCGGUAGAGCAAUUCAGCAAGAGCAAGUUCAACCAUGGUAACACCAAAUAACAUGCCUGGACACAUUCUUCUGCCGGCCCC